rnacentral:rRNA from 1 species
GAUGAACGCUAGCUACAGGCUUAACACAUGCAAGUCGAGGGGAAACGACAGUAAAGCUUGCUUAUUGGGCGUCGACCGGCGCACGGGUGCGUAACGCGUAUCCAACCUGCCCCCAACUCCGGAAUAGGUCCCCCCGAAAGGGGGGUUAACGCCGGAUGCUGCAAUUUUUCCGCAUGGUGGAAUUGCGAAAUGAAAAAGGUUGGGGCUGGGGAUGCGUCCGAUUAGCUUGUUGGCGGGGUAACGGCCCACCAAGGCGACGAUCAGUAGGGGUUCUGAGAGGAAGGUCCCCCACAUUGGAACUGAGACACGGUCCAAACUCCUACGGGAGGCAGCAGUGAGGAAUAUUGGUCAAUGGGCGAGAGCCUGAACCAGCCAAGUAGCGUGCAGGAUGACGGCCCUAUGGGUUGUAAACUGCUUUUAUAAGGGAAUAAAGUGAGUCUCGUGAGACUUUUUGCAUGUACCUUAUGAAUAAGGACCGGCUAAUUCCGUG